GUCAACGAGACGGAGGAAGUGGGCCCCCUUCAGACCAUAAACAUCAGCAACCCGGACACCAACAAGUGGAUCCUGCGCGACCUGGAGCCCUUGAGCAAAUACAAGCUGUACCUGCGCUCCUGCACCACCAUGGGCUGCGGGCCCAUCAGCAGCGAGGAGUGCACCACCACCCUGGAAACAACUUCCACUCUGGCUUCCCCUGUUGGCAUCAGCAAGUCAGCCUCCCCCUCACCUCCGAGCACUCGAAGGUCCCCCGCGACCAAACCCACUCGCUCCACCAUAGGUAGAGCUGCAGCACAUUCUGACACAUCAGCAUCACGGAGGCA